rnacentral:lncRNA from 1 species
GCCGUUAACAAAGUUUGUUUGUGCGUCUUGUGCCAAGAUGAUCUGGCCGGAAAUGAGGGGAGGGGGCUGGGAGACACCAAGGCUCCCUUCCCAGGAUUCAGGAAACCCAGCCGCAUCUUCUUAGUCCAACCUGUUCCAGGAGGAAGAGCAGGGCAAGGAGAGGGAAGUCGGGGCACAGCCUUGCACCUUCUCAGCCCAUGUUCAGGCUCAUCACACCCACAGUGCAGCGGAAAAGAACCCUCUGUGUCUGUAUCAUCCCCUUCAGGAAAAGGUGUCUCAGCCAAGUCUCUGUUAUUCUGAAAUUUCUAGGAAUCAAACUCAGGACCUUGUGCUUAUUAGGCAGGCACUCGUGCCACUGAGCUAUAUCCCCAGCCCUGUGAAACUUUCCAGAGAAAGACCUAGCUGCCCCCUCUGCCACUGUGGUGCCCACGGAUUUCUCUGCCACUCAUUGUCCUUGCAAGGACAUCCCCACAUGAAUGGAGGAUCCAAGUGGAAGAGCCCCGUGAAAAGCCUAAUAAGCAUGCACAACUGGAAUAAAAUUGAAUUGUUUGAAAAACAAACAGCUUUGCAAGUAGAACCCAAAUCAGCACAGAAAGAAACAGGGAUGGUUUUUGAAAUAUUUUUCUCCUCAUGA